rnacentral:lncRNA from 1 species
AGCUGAGGGGCCUGGUGGGGUGGAGCAGGAAGGGUGGCUCGUUUUCAACUCCUCCCGCUUGGGCUUUCCCAUUCUUUUCUUUCUUUCUUUUUUUAAUAUUCAAAUCCAAAUCAUUUUUUAAAGUACCAUGACCUUUCCAUGAAAGCAGCCAAUAAGAUAGGAUCUUAAAAAGGCAGACUUCAGGACAAGGAAUUUUUUUCCCCCUUGGGCUUUGUUUUUCCGUCUUGAAUUAAUCACAGCUGUCUUUCACUAGCAAAGGUUGUUUUUAUCUACCGUACCUUAAAUUAAAAACAACAACAACAAAGGGAGCAAUCGGAUGGCCUUCAAACUCCAUAACCUUCCACAGAAAAGAGAGAAGCAUUCGCUCCACGCUGCUAAGAAUGCAGCUUCUAAUUCGCUCUUCCUGUUGUUUACAUGAACUUUCCUUCGCAUUUCCUUAUGGAAAGAUGCCCGUGGCUGACCCGGGAGUACUGGUGAAUUUCUCCAUCAACAAUUUAACAGUUACCCUGGUAACGGAUUCAGUGAGGUAA